UACGUAGGGUGCGAGCGUUGUUCGGAAUUACUGGGCGUAAAGGGCUCGUAGGCGGCCAACUAAGUCAGACGUGAGAUCCCCAGGCUCAACCUGGGAACUGCGUCUGAUACUGGAUGGCUUGAAUUCGGGAGAGGGAUGCAGAAUUCCAGGUGUAGCGGUGAAAUGCGUAGAUAUCUGGAGGAAUACCGGUGGCGAAGGCGGCAUCCUGGACCGACAUUGACGCUGAUGAGCGAAAGCUAGGGGAGCAAACGGG
rnacentral:rRNA from 1 species